GUCCAGGGUAGCCUAAAAGACAUGGCAUCUUCUUGGUAAGCGGAACACUGUGGGUUCGAUUCCCAUUCUUCGACA
rnacentral:tRNA from 1 species